UACGUAGGGGGCAAGCGUUGUCCGGAUUCAUUGGGCGUAAAGAGCUCGUAGGCGGCUUGGCAAGUCGGGUGUGAAACCUCCAGGCUCAACCUGGAGACGCCACCCGAUACUGCCAUGGCUAGAGUCCGGUAGGGGACCACGGAAUUCCUGGUGUAGCGGUGAAAUGCGCAGAUAUCAGGAGGAACACCGGUGGCGAAGGCGGUGGUCUGGGCCGGCACUGACGCUGAGGAGCGAAAGCGUGGGGAGCGAACAGG
rnacentral:rRNA from 1 species